rnacentral:lncRNA from 1 species
AUGUGGCUUCGGAGAGCUGGCGAGGCAGCCAGCACCUGUGCCGGGUGGGUAAUUACGGAUCGAUCCCUCGGCUUGCCGAGGAAGCAGCUCGGCACGGGGAUGGGGCACGUCCACGGGUACCUGUGGGGAAAAGCCCAGCCCUGCUGGAGAGCUGGGGAAUUUGGACAAAACAGGAGGCGAUGCCACGGGCAGUGUGGAAAUAAAACCUGUGAUCCCUGCUGGCUACAGCCAGGGGAAGAGUCCCCCGGAAGGGCAAGUGACAUCCCCACAAAGGGGGUUCGGGAGGUGGUGACAGCGCUUUGGGGUCUGCUCUUCUUGUGCACCCCCAGCUGUUGGCGCAAGGCUCCUGGUGCGGAGCUUUUCCCUCUGCUGUGGGGCUACAGCACGUGGACAUGUCAGGACACCCCUUUAACCUGUUUCCACCCCCCCAGGCUGGAGCAAAGCAGCCUCUGGGGGGGAUACUUUGAGGCACAGGUCGGGCUCUGGGGCCAUUCUCCUCCCACCCCACCACGAGGGCAAGGAGGGCAGGGGGAGCGGUGGCUCUGCCCCGUCCCGGGGACAAGGCAGGGCAGUGCCCAUGGGGCCAUGGCAGGAGCACCAGGCAGAGCCUCCGGACCUUCAAGGAGAGAGAAAAUGCAAGUGCUGAUGGAGCUGCGGGUAAAUAUCAGGGGGGAUUCAAGCCAUGCCAAGGCACGUGAGCUGUCCCCCCACUGGGUGCCAGCCCCCAGGUCCUCACCCCACUCUGAAACCCCAGCGGUGCCGUAACUCACCCCGUGUGUUUUAUGGCCACCCCGAGCCCCCACCCCAAAGCUGCAGCACAACCUCUCCAGAAAAGCAUCUGGGGAGGGGAGAAAAGCCAAAAAGGGGACAAGGGGGUGGCGGGGACGUUCCCAGAGGAGCAGGGGCAGCCAGACACGACCCAUCCCCAGCCUCUCCAUCCCAUUUCCAAGAAGCCGGGUGCUCUGCAAGCCCUGGCCGAGAUUUCCCCACCUCUCUGCUCCAGCCCUGCGGCUGGGCACCCACCGGGCGCGAGGACCGGGGAUGGGGUUGUCAUGGAAACCGCCAGCACUGAUUUUUUUUUUUUUCCUCCUCUUUUCUUUUUGUCAAGGCUGGAAAAAAUGUGGGGGAGAAGGGCAGCAUCGCCGCCGGGAUGUGCGGCAGCGGUGCUUCUCCAGAGCCGCGCUUGCCUCUGGGGAUCUCGAUGCCCGUGCGUGGUGGUACAGCCCUCGGGGGGACACGGUGCGUUUUUGGCUCCCCCAGGAUGUGCCCCAAGAUGUGAGCUGGGCAGGGCAGGGGAAGCACGAGCAUUUGGUGCCUGAAGCAGUGGCUGCACCCCUCAAGCCCUGAUAAAAAGGCAAUAGAAGCGCCCGUCCCCCCCAGAGCUGUGGGGUUUCUCCCCCAUCCUGAGCAGGCUGGGGGAUGUGGGGGGCAGAGGGGAAAGCCCCGGGGAUGUCACCUCGUGGCCCCAGGGGGGCUCCGUGGGUGACAGGGACCCUGCCUGGGCUCAGCCGGAUCCCAAAUGCCAUCGGUCUGGGGAGCAGCACUUUGGGCACCAGGUUUUUCCAGCACACCCAGGUGCUUACAGCAUCCCCCGGCUCAGGUUGGAGGCUCGGCCCUGGGGACUGUCCCCAGGAGCCACCCAGAGCCCAUUGCAACCCCUGCAGGCAGCCAGAGGGACCCCCACUGUCCCUUGCCCCAGA